AAUUAUCCCAGAAAAUUGUUUAUAUUAAAAACAGGCUGAGAGUUGUUUGAACUGUGAAUCCCCCCCCCCCCCCCGCAAAUUAGAGGAUAAACAUUCUUCUUGUUAAGAUUUCUUUGGAAAACCCCUG
rfam:Felis catus clone RP86-523H23, complete sequence.